rnacentral:rRNA from 1 species
UGCCAGCAGCCGCGGUAAUACGGAGGGUGCGAGCGUUAAUCGGAAUUACUGGGCGUAAAGGGCGCGCAGGCGGUCUUGUCCGUCAGGUGUGAAAGCUCGGGGCUCAACCCUGGAAGUGCACUUGAAACAGCAAGACUUGAAUACGGUAGAGGAGAGAGGAAUUCCUGGUGUAGAGGUGAAAUUCGUAGAUAUCAGGAGGAAUACCGAUGGCGAAGGCAUCUCUCUGGGCCGAUAUUGACGCUGAGGUACGAAAGUGUGGGGAGCAAACAGGAUUAGAUA